ACGGAAAUUGAUGUUCUUCCGGCUCGAAACCCCCUAACAAUAUCAGUCCACGAUCAGGAAUUUCUUGUUGGUUUAACCUUGAAGGUGGAUUUUUAUAAUGUUUUCUAAGAAGUUGCAAACUUUCUUGAUAUUAUUGAGUAUAUUUCAUAACGGCCAUACAGAUACAACAGUAUUGCCCACAGCAAGUUUUUCAAAGUCGUCCGUUACAGAUGACC